rnacentral:rRNA from 1 species
GCGAACAGACGAGGAGCUUGCUCCUCUGACGUUAGCGGCGGACGGGUGAGUAACACGUGGAUAACCUACCUAUAAGACUGGGAUAACUUCGGGAAACCGGAGCUAAUACCGAAUAAUAUAUUGAACCGCAUGGUUCAAUAGUGAAAGACGGUUUUGCUGUCACUUAUAGAUGGAUCCGCGCCGCAUUAGCUAGUUGGUAGGGUAACGGCUUACCAAGGCGACGAUGCGUAGCCGACCUGAGAGGGUGAUCGGCCACACUGGAACUGAGACACGGUCCAGACUCCUACGGGAGGCAGCAGUAGGGAAUCUUCCGCAAUGGGCGAAAGCCUGACGGAGCAACGCCGCGUGAGUGAUGAAGGUCUUCGGAUCGUAAAACUCUGUUAUUAGGGAAGAACAAAUGUGUAAGUAACUGUGCACGUCUUGACGGUACCUAAUCAGAAAGCCACGGCUAACUACGUGCCAGCAGCCGCGGUAAUACGUAGGUGGCAAGCGUUAUCCGGAAUUAUUGGGCGUAAAGCGCGCGUAGGCCGUUUUUUAAGUCUGAUGUAAAAGCCCACGGCUCAACCGUGGAGGGUCAUUGGAAACUGGAAAACUUGAGUGCAGAAGAGGAAAGUGGAAUUCCAUGUGUAGCGGUGAAAUGCGCAGAGAUAUGGAGGAACACCAGUGGCGAAGGCGACUUUCUGGUCUGUAACUGACGCUGAUGUGCGAAAGCGUGGGGAUCAAACAGGAUUA